rnacentral:rRNA from 1 species
GUGACUGCGUACCUUUUGUAUAAUGGGUCAGCGACUUAUAUUCUGUAGCAAGGUUAACCGUAUAGGGGAGCCGGAGGGAAACCGAGUCUUAAUUGGGCGUUAAGUUGCAGGGUAUAGACCCGAAACCCGGUGAUCUAGCCAUGGGCAGGUUGAAGGUUGGGUAACACUAACUGGAGGACCGAACCGACUAAUGUUGAAAAAUUAGCGGAUGACCUGUGGCUGGGGGUGAAAGGCCAAUCAAACCGGGAGAUAGCUGGUUCUCCCCGAAAGCUAUUUAGGUAGCGCCUCGUGAAUUCAUCUCCGGGGGUAGAGCACUGUUUCGGCUAGGGGGCCAUCCCGGCUUACCAACCCGAUGCAAACUGCGAAUACCGGAGAAUGUUAUCACGGGAGACACACGGCGGGUGCUAACGUCCGUCGUGAAGAGGGAAACAACCCAGACCGCCAGCUAAGGUCCCAAAGUCAUGGUUAAGUGGGAAACGAUGUGGGAAGGCCCAGACAGCCAGGAUGUUGGCUUAGAAGCAGCCAUCAUUUAAAGAAAGCGUAAUAGCUCACUGGUCGAGUCGGCCUGCGCGGAAGAUGUAACGGGGCUAAACCAUGCACCGAAGCUGCGGCAGCGACACUGUGUGUUGUUGGGUAGGGGAGCGUUCUGUAAGCCUGUGAAGGUGUGUCGUGAGGCAUGCUGGAGGUAUCAGAAGUGCGAAUGCUGACAUAAGUAACGAUAAAGCGGGUGAAAAGCCCGCUCGCCGGAAGACCAAGGGUUCCUGUCCAACGUUAAUCGGGGCAGGGUGAGUCGACCCCUAAGGCGAGGCCGAAAGGCGUAGUCGAUGGGAAACGGGUUAAUAUUCCCGUACUUGGUGUUACUGCGAAGGGGGGACGGAGAAGGCUAUGUUGGCCGGGCGACGGUUGUCCCGGUUUAAGCGUGUAGGCUGGUUUUCCAGGCAAAUCCGGAAAAUCAAGGCUGAGGCGUGAUGACGAGGCACUACGGUGCUGAAGCAACAAAUGCCCUGCUUCCAGGAAAAGCCUCUAAGCAUCAGGUAACAUCAAAUCGUACCCCAAACCGACACAGGUGGUCAGGUAGAGAAUACCAAGGCGCUUGA